ACCAGAUAGAGUUUGAUCCUGGCUCAGAACGAACGCUGGCGGCGUGCUUAACACAUGCAAGUCGAGCGAGAACGGUUUCCUUCGGGGAGCUUAGUAGAGCGGCAGACGGGUGAGUAACACGUGGGUAACCUGCCCCUGAGCGGGGGAUAACCACUCGAAAGGGUGGCUAAUACCGCAUAAGACCACGACCUUGCGGGGUUGAGGUCAAAGGCUUCGGCCACUUGGGGAGGGGCCCGCGCCCGAUUAGCUCGUUGGUGGGGUAACGGCCUACCAAGGCGACGAUCGGUAGCUGGUCUGAGAGGAUGAUCAGCCACACUGGUACUGAGACACGGACCAGACUCCUACGGGAGGCAGCAGUGGGGAAUAUUGGACAAUGGGCGCAAGCCUGAUCCAGCAAUGCCGCGUGUGUGAAGAAGGCCUGCGGGUUGUAAAGCACUUUUAUCGGGAUAGAAAAACCCAGGGUUAAUAACCCUGGCAUUUGACGGUACCCGAACAAUAAGCACCGGCUAACUCCGUGCCAGCAGCCGCGCGGUAAUACGGAGGGUGCAAGCGUUAAUCGGAAUUACUGGGCGUAAAGCGAGUGUAGGCGGCUGCGUAAGUCGGAUGUGAAAGCCCCGGGCUUAACCUGGGAAUUGCAUUCGAUACUGCGUAGCUAGAGUCUGAUAGAGGGAAGUGGAAUUCCGGGUGUAGCGGUGAAAUGCGUAGAUAUCCGGAGGAACACCAGUGGCGAAGGCGGCUUCCUGGAUCAACACUGACGCUGAGGCUCGAAAGCGUGGGGAGCAAACAGGAUUAGAUCCCCUGGUAGCCCACGCCCUAAACGAUGUCAACUAGACGUUGGGUUCAUUAUGGAACUUAGUGUCGAAGCUAACGCGUUAAGUUGACCGCCUGGGGAGUACGGCCGCAAGGUUGAAACUCAAAGGAAUUGACGGGGGCCCGCACAAGCGGUGGAGCAUUGUGGUUUAAUUCGAUGCAACGCGAAGAACCUUACCAGCCCUUGACAUCCUCGGAACUUGGCAGAGAUGCCUUGGUGCCUUCGGGAAUCGAGUGACAGGUGCUGCAUGGCUGUCGUCAGCUCGUGUCGUGAGAUGUUGGGUUAAGUCCCGCAACGAGCGCAACCCUUGGCCCUAGUUGCCAGCACUUCGGGUGGGAACUCUAGGGAGAAUGCCGGUGAUAAACCGGAGGAAGGUGGGGAUGACGUCAAGGCAUCAUGGCCCUUAUGGGCUGGGCUACACACGUGCUACAAUGGUCGGUACAGCGGCCCGCAAUCCCGCGAGGGGGAGCCAAUCCCACAAAGCCGAUCUUAGUCCGGAUCGCAGUCUGCAACUCGACUGCGUGAAGUUGGAAUCGCUAGUAAUCGCGAAUCAGCAAUGUCGCGGUGAAUACGUUCCCGGGCCUUGUACACCCCGCCCGUCACACCAUGGGAGUGGGUUGCACCAGAAGUAGCUAGCUUAACCUUCGGGAGAGCGGUUACCACGGUGUGAUUCAUGACUGGGGUGAAGUCGUAACAAGGUAACC
rnacentral:rRNA from 1 species